AUGCGGCUUAGCUGCAACGGCUGCCGCGUGCUGCGGAAGGGCUGCAGCGAGGACUGCAGCAUCCGCCCCUGCCUGCAGUGGAUCAAGAGCCCCGAGGCGCAGGCCAACGCCACCGUCUUCCUCGCCAAGUUCUACGGCCGCGCGGGGCUCAUGAACCUCAUCAACGCCGGCACGGACGACAGCCUCCGCCCCGGCAUCUUCCGCUCGCUCCUCUACGAGGCCUGCGGCCGGAUCGUCAACCCCAUCUACGGCUCCGUUGGCCUGCUCUGGUCCAAUAACUGGCAGAUGUGCCAGGCCGCCGUCGAGGCCGUCCUCAGCGGCAAGCCCAUCGUCCAGGUCUCCUCCGAGGAUGCCGCCGCCGACCGGACCCCGCCGCUCAAGGCGUACGACAUCCGCCACGUCUCCACCUCGUCAGCCGCCGACGGGAGGCUCCACAAGGUCGCCAAGCCCGGCCGCACCCGCUUCAAGCGCGCGUCCUCCGCCUCGUCCCACCACAACCCGUCCAGCGACUCCAACAACAAGCCCAAGCCGCAGCCGCAGCCUCGGGCGCCCACGGCGGAGGAGGAGCGGGAUCGUCAACACCGCAAGGAGAUGGAGGAGGGCGCGUUCCAGCGUGCUCCGAGCCACGAAUCCUCCGACAGCCGACACGAGGACCCCGUGGAGCCACACUGCCAGCAAGAGGCGUCCGCGGACACGGAGGCCGAGGCGGGGUCGCACGUCAGCCAGGCAGAGCAGGAGCAGAGCACAGAGCCGGCCGCAGAGCACGCGGAGGAGGUCGAAAAGGAGGACGAAGAACUAGGGCUCGAGCUCACGCUUGGAUUCGCUCCCGUCGCAGCACGGCCUGCCGGAUUUCACCUGAGCGUCCGGACCGCGGCGGAGCCGGCUUUCGUCGGGCUCCGGUUCCUCUAA
rnacentral:rRNA from 1 species